AUCACUCUUUCUCUCUCUAUCUUCCUACCCUCUCUUCCUCCCUCUCUCUCUCUCUCCUCCAUACAUUCACCUAAGCGCAUUAAUUUAUAAACAAAUCUCUGGCAAGACCGCGAUAGUAACCAUUUCUUCAAUAAUGGAUCUCCCACAUAUUCAACCACCAUUAUAGCAGUGAUGUAUUGAAU